rnacentral:rRNA from 1 species
AUUGAACGCUGGCGGCAGGCCUAACACAUGCAAGUCGAACGAGUGGCGGACGGGUGAGUAAUGUCUGGGAAACUGCCUGAUGGAGGGGGAUAACUACUGGAAACGGUAGCUAAUACCGCAUACCAUCGGAUGUGCCCAGAUGGGAGUAGCUAGUAGGUGGGGUAAAGGCUCACCUAGGCGACGAUCCCUAGCUGGUCUGAGAGGAUGACCUGCCACAAUGGAACUGUGACACGGUCCAGAGUCCUACGGGAGGAAGCGGUGGGGAAUAUUGCACAAUGGGCGCGAGCCUGAUGCAGCCAUGCCGCGUGUAUUAAGAAGGCCUUCGGGUUGUAAAGUACUUUCAGCGGGGAGGCGUUACCCGCAGAAGAAGCACCGGCUAACUCCGUGCCAGCAGCCGCGGUAAUUC